rnacentral:hammerhead_ribozyme from 1 species
AUCCAGAUGACGAGUUCCAAAUAGGACGGGAGGUGAAUCCUGGAU